UCCUACGGGAGGCAGCAGUGGGGAAUAUUGGACAAUGGGGGGAACCCUGAUCCAGCCAUGCCGCGUGUGUGAAGAAGGCCUUUUGGUUGUAAAGCACUUUAAGCGAGGAGGAGGCUACUCUAGUUAAUACCUAGGGAUAGUGACGUACUCGC
rnacentral:rRNA from 1 species